AGCGUAGGUGGAUAUUUAAGUGGGAUGUGAAAUACUCGGGCUUAACCUGGGUGCUGCAUUCCAAACUGGAUAUCUAGAGUGCAGGAGAGGAAAGUAGAAUUCCUAGUGUAGCGGUGAAAUGCGUAGAGAUUAGGAAGAAUACCAGUGGCGAAGGCGACUUUCUGGACUGUAACUGACACUGAGGCUCGAAAGCGUGGGGAGCAAACAGGAUUAGAUACCCUGGUA
rnacentral:rRNA from 1 species